CGGCUAACAGGAGCACCGCUCACAGAUGAAGUAGGAGUUGUGGCAUUGGAGCUGGGUGUUGGUGGAACGAACUGUUGCGAGGUUUCAGGAUCGAAUUGGUGGGACACUCUUAUCGCCUUUGCCUAUUAGACUACGAAGAACUUACCUUUUUGACACACUUAUGGUACUUUACCCAAAUGGGCAUCCAACGAAGAAGUUGGCCGCACACACAGAAACCGCAACCUCUCACACCGCACACCAAUGCAAAUAAAACAGCUGUGAGAACAUCCAACAAAACGCAGAUGACAAAGGUAAACAACAAAUAUUUUUAUUUUUCGCUUUUGUUAAUUCUACCGAUUAUUCGUUUCUUCUUUUCACACUUGUUCACAACACUACGCUUUGCUUCGGACUUGCUUUCGUUUCGGUUCUGUUCUUUCAGGAGAUGUUGUUGGCCUCGGCUGGCUACUUUUUUCAAAAUCGCUUUAUUAUGCAAAUGCUUAAAUAUUUGUUUGGAAUUUGUGAUCUGAUCAUAUAUUUACACCUGGAUGACGCGAUUCACACAUACACUCACACGCAUUAACCAGACGAAUAAAAUGUUAGGCCCUUCUUUGCUUUAAA